UACGUAGGCAGCGAGCGUUGUUCGGAGUUACUGGGCGUAAAGGGUGUGUAGGCGGUUGUUUAAGUUUGGUGUGAAAUCUCCCGGCUCAACUGGGAGGGUGCGCCGAAUACUGAAUGACUUGGAGUGCGGGAGAGGUGAGUGGAAUUCCUGGUGUAGAGGUGAAAUUCGUAGAUAUCAGGAGGAACACCAGUGGCGAAGGCGGCUUUCUGGACGGUAACUGACGCUGAGACGCGAAAGCGUGGGGAGCAAACAGG
rnacentral:rRNA from 1 species